GACGUAGGGCGCGAGCGUUGUCCGGAUUUAUUGGGCGUAAAGAGCUCGUAGGCGGCUUGUCGCGUCGAAUGUGAAAACUUGGGGCUCAACUCCAAGCUUGCAUUCGAUACGGGCAGGCUAGAGUUCGGUAGGGGAGACUGGAAUUCCUGGUGUAGCGGUGAAAUGCGCAGAUAUCAGGAGGAACACCGGUGGCGAAGGCGGGUCUCUGGGCCAAUACUGACGCUGAGGAGCGAAAGCGUGGGGAGCGAACAGG
rnacentral:rRNA from 1 species